rnacentral:rRNA from 1 species
AUUGAACGCUGGCGGCAUGCCUUACACAUGCAAGUCGAACGGUAACAGAUCUUCGGAUGCUGACGAGUGGCGAACGGGUGAGUAAUACAUCGGAACGUGCCUAGUAGUGGGGGAUAACUACUCGAAAGAGUGGCUAAUACCGCAUGAGAUCUACGGACGAAAGCAGGGGAUCGCAAGACCUUGUGCUACUAGAGCGGCCGAUGGCAGAUUAGGUAGUUGGUGGGAUAAAAGCUUACCAAGCCGACGAUCUGUAGCUGGUCUGAGAGGACGAUCAGCCACACUGGGACUGAGACAAGGCCCAGACUCCUACGGGAGGCAGCAGUGGGGAAUUUUGGACAAUGGGCGCAAGCCUGAUCCAGCAAUGCCGCGUGCAGGAUGAAGGCCUUCGGGUUGUAAACUGCUUUUGUACGGAACGAAAAGCCCUGGGUUAAUACCCUGGGGUCAUGACGGUACCGUAAGAAUAAGCACCGGCUAACUACGUGCCAGCAGCCGCCGUAACAC